UAGUUGUAGGUGACAAACACCCGGGAGUCUGAUCAGAAAGCCCCUUUCUAGACAUGAGGUCACCCAUAUGGGUACGUGCUGUCAAGACAUGUAAACCAGAGGAGGGAAAAAGUGAGAUUCACGGCCCUGCCUCCUCCCUCGCUCUGGAACCACAGCCUUUAUUAAGGGCAAGCAGUCAAUAAUAACCUCACCUCUAGGACCUGCCAGGGAGUGUCCAUUUUGAAAUACAGGCAUGCUUGACCCACUGAAACAUCAAACCAGAAGCCCAGGAGGAAGAGGAGGAGGAGGAGGGAUCAGCUGUGAUGUGGGAGCAGGCACCCCCAACACAAUCCAUCAUUGUUAUCUGCAAAACAGGCAGCACAUGGCCAGCGCAAGUGAGUCAGAGUGGUCUGGUAACGAGUGCCUCUUCACAGGGAGAGUCCCUCCAUGUGUCCUUGUGAUUAGGGCCAAUCCCCUUCAGUGAAUCAGGUGCACUAUUCCUCUAGGCAACGUGAGACUCGUUGGUUCAUUUGUCUCCAGGUCCACAAUAAAUAUUAGCUCAUGUCAGAUAAUACCAACUCCUUAAAGGUUUUCAUCUUAAACUUCACGAAAACCAACAGAUUGCAGUUGUAGUUUCAUUUCUGUUGUUUUGACACAGUUUUGACAUGAGACUUGUGUAUCUAAAAAUAAAAAUAUUGUGUAAGUUGUAUUCUAGGAGACAUUGGAGCUCUGGAGGAUGCAAUUACUUGGAUAUCUCUCUGACAUGGGCUCACAGACAGUAUGUAGAGAGGGUCGACCUGCCCAGAAGCAACAAGCGCUGUGCCUGCUACACACAAUAUGAUGAGAUAGACAGUUGACAAAUUAAAUUAAAACAUUUAUAUGACUAUCAAAAAGUCAAGGUUAGAUUUCUUACAUAGAUUACAAAAUCACUUAGGACACAUUUAAGGACCAAUGUGAAGGAUUUAGUGGCACCUAGUGGUGAAGUUUCAGACUGAACACCAAAAACUAACUGAACACCACUCACAUCAGUAACUGACGACCUGGAAAUGAUAACGGGCUUUGAAGUGUGUAAGAGAAACUACACUGGUCGUAAACUCGUAAAACUAGAGCCAGAGUUUGGUUUGUCCAUAAAGGGCUACUGUGGAAACAUGGUGGUUCAACAUGGUGGGCUCCGUAGAAGAAGACCAUUUAAAGUAACGUAAUGAUUCUUAUAUUCAGGUGAUUACACACUAAUGAAAACAUACCUAUGAAUAUUAUAUUCCAUUUCUGCCGAUACAGCCUCAUAAAUGUUGCAAACUGAACCUUUAAUGCAUGAACACAUAUUGGUUGUAGCUAUUUCACUAGCUAUAGUUUUGCUUUUUAAAUGCUAAUCUCAGCAUAAUAGAUAUAUAAUAAAAACUAGAUGGAUAGUAUCCUAUAAUAGCCUAUUCAGUCCAAUGCAAAUUGCUCGCCUGACACAUUCACCCAAAUUUUUCUAGCUUAUGCAGCCCACUGAAUAUGCGCAGUAGUGUUUCUCCUGGUGGUCCUGAUCGCACAUUCCCCUUUGGCCCAUAGACUUUACAUUGUGAUGACAUCAUGGAUUUUGCUUUUCUCAACUCGAGAAAAGUUUUACGAAUAUUAAACCUCCAUGGAUCAAAAAUUCAUAAGAUAAAGAGUCAUAACUGACCUUGUUUGAGGAGUCCUGUCAGUUUUACAGACAUCUCUUUUAUAACAGUGGUCUUUGAGGAUUACUGCUGAGCAGCACUGCCCGAUCCAGUUGUAUGAUGUAUCUGCGAUCAGCAUGCUCACAUGUUGACAAUGACAAAGCUAACAUGACGAAAAUGUUUUCCUAUCUGUCUUAGUUGAGUGUGUUAGCAUGCUAAUAUUUGGUACUAAACACAAGGUACAACUGAGGCUGAUGAAAAUAGUUUUGCAGGUAUUUAGUCAUAAACCAAAGUAUUGGACACAUUUAAAUUUGUUCAUCUUGCAGGGUACAUCAAUGUCUGUAUCAAAUCUUAUGGGAAUAGUUGAGACCUUUCACUCAAAGCCACAAAUGUGAACCUUGUGGUGGAGCUACAGGAAAAAGUGAAGGGAUCAACAAAGUCAGUAGAAUUAAUCCUCUGGGUACCAUGAAUGUCUGUACCAAAUUUUGAGCCAAUAUACAUAAUAGGUGUCAUCAUAUUUUACAAAUAAGCCACAAAAAAGUGUCAAACUUCUGCCGGCACAAGAAGUAAGAACAAAAGUCAGUGGGAUUAAUUCUGGUGUCUGUACAAAAUGUCAUAACAAUCCAUCCAUAGAGAUAGCAUGGUUGAAAAUAAAUGAUAUGACAAUGCUAUUUACUGUAAUGAAACAUCAUUUAUUUAAACACAGAAAGGUUAUUUAGAAUAAUUAGGUAUGAAGUAUUACAUUUACAAAUAGCUAUGGAUUGUUAAAAGCUGGAUUCCUUCUCCAAAUUGAGGGUCUAUAUUGUGAAAUAAACUUGCAUUUUCCACUGGAAGAA